AAUACCUUCCUGCAGUACAUCAUACUUGAACGAUUGAAGCUUUGAUUUGCUUUUUGAUCAAAUUCUUUGUUUGGGAAUUUAAAAAUUAGUUGAUUUAGAUUUUAUUUAAAUUCUAAUUCUAAUUUUAUCUUAUUUCUUUCCUAAUUUCAAAUGCUUUCUAUCUAAUGCCCUGUUGCUUGAAAUCUCCUUCGCCUCUCCUCGGCCUCGCGUUCUCAUCUCUACCGUAGCGUUGUCGUUCGCUCGUGGCCUACGUGCUAGUCUCUCGCUCAAGUGAGUUCAAUCUUCCGCUUCCCUCGUCUCUCUAGCUAGCUUUUCUUUAGCCUCACUUACUUCGUUUCAUCUACCCUCUUCAUUCUCUUCUUCCUUUCCUCUUAUCUCUGCUCAUCUCUUACAACUUCACGUCGCUCAGGUCAGGGGCAAAAAUUAGAAGAGGGAUUUUACUGGAUCAUGCAACAAGAUUGGUGGCAGGAGAAACCGCAGUGAUUGGUAACAAUGUGUCAAUUCUGCAUAAUGUGACAUUGGAGGAACUAGUAAAGCUUCAGGAGAUAGACAUCCCAAGAUUGGUGAUGGAGUUCUUACAGGAUCAAUUUCUUGUAUAGACUCAUGAAUCACUGGGGAACCAUCAACUUGGUUUGCAGAGGAAUCCUGGCAUGAGCACACGCGGACAAGACAUCUUGAUCUCCAAAUGGCUUGCUUCUUUCUUUACAUACAGCUGGAAUGACGAUAAGAGGAUAUAAGAAUACAAAAUACUUUCAUGUUGGGGCUACUGCUAGAAGAAAAUGGAACAAGAUUGAAGCUUUUGAAGAGUGAUGAUAAUGGUGAAUGGGUUUACGAUGCUACAGAAAUACAACAUGCUGUGUUGCCUUUUUCAGAGAAGGAGGACAUCAAGAGGUUGUUGAGGGGGAUUUGCAGAGUCUUAUCCUAAUAUUGAGUCACAAAAAUUGAGGGAGAUUGGUGAAAUGUUUAGUGAAGAAGAAAUUAAGACGGCAGUGUUUAGUCUUCGAGUGCCUAAUGGUGAUACUCUCAGUGCUGGCAUUAAAUAAUAGAUAAAAUAGCUUGG